rnacentral:rRNA from 1 species
UACGGAGGAUGCAAGCGUUAUCCGGAAUGAUUGGGCGUAAAGGGUCCGCAGGUGGCCCUGUAAGUCUGCUGUUAAAGAGUGAGGCUUAACCUCAUAAAAGCAGUGGAAACUACAGAGCUAGAGUGCGUUCGGGGUAGCAGGAAUUCCUGGUGUAGCGGUGAAAUGCGUAGAGAUCAGGAAGAACACCGGUGGCGAAAGCGUGCUACUAGGCCGUAACUGACACUGAGGGACGAAAGCUAGGGGAGCGAAGGGG